AUGCACGCUGGCGGCGUGCCUCACACAUGCAAGUCGAACGGAGUCCAGCCUUAGAGACCUUCGGGUCAAAGAGGGGAAGACUGAGUGGCGGACGGGUGGGUAACACGUGGGCAACCUGGCUCAUAGAGGGGGAUAACAGAGAGAAAUUUCUGCUAAUACCGCAUAAGCACACACUGCCGCAUGGCAGAGUGUGAAAAGAGAAUCGCUAUGAGAUGGACCCGCGUCUGAUUAGCCAGUUGGCAGGGUAAGAGCCUACCAAAGCGACGAUCAGUAGCCGAUUUGAGAGGAUGAACGGCCACAUUGGGACUGAGACACGGCCCAAACUCCUACGGGAGGCAGCAGUGGGGGAUAUUGCACAAUGGGGGGAACCCUGAUGCAGCGACGCCGCGUGAGUGAAGAAGUAUUUCGGUAUGUAAAGCUCUAUCAGCAGGGAAGAUAAUGACAGUACCUGAAUAAGAAGCCCCGGCUAACUACGUG
rnacentral:rRNA from 1 species